AGCUUUCCAAACUCAGCAGAGCACACAUCAGAGUGUGUUUAGUUCAUCUGGGCUGGUGAGUUCCAGUGAUGAAAGCCUGGUGCUAAUGGAGGCGAGGUCACCGGUUCAAUCCUCAUAGGACCCAGUUCACUUACAAGAGAAAAAACACUACUCAAGAACCAGAGACACCUCCUGACCCCAGUCACUGACCACAAGAAGGAUGGGGUGAAAACGAUGGCUGACCCAGGGCAAAACCAUCUGAUAAACAACUCAGACAGCACACCCCCAACCCCCAGCAGGAGAAGCCAGCACCUUCUAGUUUAAGGAUUUUAUAAAACCGCUUUUAUAAAAAUCCCUGCGGACAAGUUCACAGUAGCUGACUCCCCAAGAUUGUGUUUAUAUUUUCAGAAGGGGGCUGAAGAGCUAUGCCCAGACUGGAGCACGAGUCUGCUUGCUGGUGUGUUUCUCAGUCCAGUUUGAUUUUUUAAAGGUACCCUCCAUGGGACAGAACUCUGCUUACAAACUUUAAAACUGGAUGAUGCAAAAAUUACCUGCACAGCAGAUGACCCAGUGUUUCUUAGAAGGGGGCUCAAGAUCUGCAUAUUCAACAAGCUUCCCAAGGGAUUUUGAUGGAUUCAGAACCACCCUCUACAAAUCCCUAAACUCUUCCUAUUUCAGGAUGGGCUGAGUGUUCAUAUUGCCUCACCUUUCAUCAAAGCACCAUCUGGGAACCAGAACUUGGCAUUUGAGAAAAAUCAGAGAUGACUAAGAAUAAGAACAAUCUCAUCAGGAGAAGAGCCGUUGAUCUUGUUUAUUUGUAUUACAGGAAUUGAGAACAGAAAGGAUCAUUAAACAUCACCUACUCCAAAUGCAUUCGUUUCCAGAACUCCACAAGCAAGGGCAGAGCCCAGGACUCCUGUUGCCUGAUUUUGUGCCUGAGGAUCUUGGCUCUUGAAGCAGGAGAACCUUCAGUGUAUGUUAGAAACUUCUGGGAGGGCUUGGCCAAGAUACAAGCUCUGGAUCCCACCACGGAGAUUCUGCUUCUGCAGGCUGAGGUCUGUCCAGGAAACAGCAUUUUAAUAAGCUCAGAUUCUGAUUUGGAUGAUCUUUGAAACAAACCAAAGCCCAAUACACACAAGCUUCCCAAUCACUUGCAGUUAAUUUUCACAAACGUUUUCUUAUAUUCAUUAUUAAUCUAGAAAAAAAGCAAUAAAUAUUUUCUAAGCACUUCUUUUUAGAAAUUAUUUUUAUUAUGGUUACAUAUAUGAAAAAUAAUAAAAAU
rnacentral:lncRNA from 1 species